rnacentral:rRNA from 1 species
AUUGAACGCUGGCGGCAUGCCUUACACAUGCAAGUCGAACGGCAGCGGGGGAGAAGCUUGCUUUUCCUGCCGGCGAGUGGCGAACGGGUGAGUAAUACAUCGGAACGUGCCCUGUAGUGGGGGAUAACUAGUCGAAAGAUUAGCUAUUACCGCAUACGACCUGAGGGUGAAAGUGGGGGACCGCAAGGCCUCAUGCUAUAGGAGCGGCCGAUGUCUGAUUAGCUAGUUGGUGGGGUAAAGGCCUACCAAGGCGACGAUCAGUAGCUGGUCUGAGAGGACGCUCAGCCACACUGGAACUGAGACACGGCCCAGAAUCCUACGGGAGGCAGCAGUGGGGAAUUUUGGACAAUGGGCGAAAGCCUGAUCCAGCAAUGCCGCGUGUGUGAAGAAGGCCUUCGGGUUGUAAAGCACUUUUGUCCGGAAAGAAAUGGCUCUGGUUAAUACCUGGGGUCGAUGACGGUACCGGAAGAAUAAGGAUCGGCUAACUCCGUGCCAGCCGCCGCCGUAA